rnacentral:rRNA from 1 species
UACGUAGGGGGCGAGCGUUGUCCGGAAUCAUUGGGCGUAAAGAGCUCGUAGGCGGCUCGGUAAGUCGGGUGUGAAACCCCCAGGCUCAACCUGGGGACGCCACCCGAUACUGCUGUGGCUAGAGUCCAGUAGGGGAGUGUGGAAUUCCCGGUGUAGCGGUGAAAUGCGCAGAUAUCGGGAGGAACACCAGCGGCGAAGGCGGCACUCUGGGCUGGAACUGACGCUGAGGCGCGAAAGCGUGGGGAGCGAACAGG